CUCGUGCCAGCCACCGCGGUUAUACGAGUUGGCCCAAGUUGACAGACAACGGCGUAAAGAGUGGUUAAGGAAAAUAAAAACUAAAGCCGAACACCUUCAAAGCUGUCAUACGCUCCCGAAGAUAUGAAGCCCAACCACGAAAGUGACUUUACAUAACCUGAACCCACGAAAGCUAAGAAACAAACUGGGAUUAGAUACCCCACUAUG
rnacentral:rRNA from 1 species